rnacentral:rRNA from 1 species
ACGAACGCUGGCGGCGUGCUUAACACAUGCAAGUCGAACGGAAAGGCCCUGCUUUUGUGGGGUGCUCGAGUGGCGAACGGGUGAGUAACACGUGAGUAACCUGCCCUUGACUUUGGGAUAACUUCAGGAAACUGAGGCUAAUACCGGAUAGGAGCUCCUGCUGCAUGGUGGGGGUUGGAAAGUUUCGGCGGUUGGGGAUGGACUCGCGGCUUAUCAGCUUGUUGGUGGGGUAGUGGCUUACCAAGGCUUUGACGGGUAGCCGGCCUGAGAGGGUGACCGGCCACAUUGGGACUGAGAUACGGCCCAGACUCCUACGGGAGGCAGCAGUGGGGAAUAUUGCACAAUGGGCGGAAGCCUGAUGCAGCAACGCCGCGUGCGGGAUGACGGCCUUCGGGUUGUAAACCGCUUUCGCCUGUGACGAAGCGUGAGUGACGGUAAUGGGUAAAGAAGCACCGGCUAACUACGUG